GCUCUGCAGCACCGGCGGAUUGUAGUUUCGAGAAGCACUUUCUCGGCGGAUCGGACUUGCCUAAGUUGCUUGGAACAGCACGUCGCAGAGGGUGACAACCCCGUCUGUGGCAGAGUCCGGCCGCUCACGAUGUGCUUUCGAAGAGUCGCGUUGUUUGGGAUUGCAGCCCAAAACGGGUGGUAAACUCCACCUAAAGCUAAAUAUUGGCGCGAGACCGAUAGUGA
rnacentral:rRNA from 1 species